rnacentral:misc_RNA from 1 species
UCCUCUUGUUGCUACAUCCGCGGCAACGACCAACACCGUUACCCGACGCUCUACGCGCCAGCCACGCACACGCGCAGGGGCGGGGCUGCACCUUUGUAAACUAGACGUGUCUCUGGCAAGUUUUUCCCUCCACACACACACACACACACACUUGCCCGUUGCGCUCUCUCGACGCCGCCUCCUCUUCCGCCAUUGUGCUCUUCUCCUCUGUUUGGCCGCUUCCUGUACCGCCACCGAUCUCGUUGAACCACACCUGCACACACUUAAGAUUGCCGGACAGCGCUGUCGGGUGCAAGCGAAUCGAGCAACGGAAGAAGAGGAAGAGAGAGAGACCCCUCUAUUCCUUACCCCUCGUGUUCGUCUUAGUGCAUACAUGAGAGGCCUGCUCAUCUUAUUCGAGUGUACCGCACCCGCGCCGCACGGCACCACACCGCACCACCCCUCUCUUCCUCAUUUCCUUUCAUGAUAUUACCGGCGCUCUGCACGGCGUUUCUCAGUGCCUCGCCGCACGCCGCCUCCGCUGUCUUGCAUAUCUGAUGCAUAAGGAAAGGAACACCACACACAUACACACACACACACACACACACACACACCUAAAUACACCAACACGCACCCGAGUAGAGCUGGUGAGCUAUCAGGCGAAGCACUGAGGUCCUUCGCCACCUUCUCUGCCUCUUCAUACUCGCCGUUUGGAUGCCGGUGCCGCCAGGGCGUUUAUGAUGCACAAUUCCAGCGCAGCCUCGGACCUCGCCAACGCCCCGCACGAAACCCAAGCUGAACUUGAUGCAUCUGCAGAGGCAACGCUGCAGCCACCCUUUGCCGCGUCGCUGCAGGAGUCCUUGCAUGAAGUCACGACUGCCUCCGUAUCAGGAGGACAAAGGAGUCAGCAAGAUGCUCCCGCACGUCCCUCGACAGCAGGUGCUGCUCUUGCAGUGACACCAUUGGCGAGGUCGUUGCCGUCUUCUCGAUCUCGCUCUGCGACCUCCGCCAUCCCGCCGCCGCCGCUCGUGCGCCCAGCAAAGAAGGCGGUCAAGGCGAGCGGCCACGACUGCACCACUAACGGCGUGGUUGGUAGUGCCUCGCUCUUCCGCGAUUGGUCCACCAAUGCCGCGCUGCUCGAUGAGGUUCUGAACACGCCGUUCUUCCAUCUACUCCCGAAAAGCACAGAGAGCACGGCCGGCACGGUCGCCUCGUCUGCGGCGGCGCACGAUCCGGCACUGCAGUCGGUGACUCUGCCCACCAGCGAUGCCCCGCUGCCGUCCAUGCUCCUUAUCGCCCUCUCAGACAUCGAGGUGUUGCAGCAGUCUUUCUGCGCGCACACCCUCGUCAACCCAGUGAAGAAUCAGCUCGGUGAGUUCAAGCGACUUGUGGCGGCCUCGAUGCGGUCGGAGCUGACGCAUGGGCACGAGCCGCAGCACACGGAGAACUUUGCAGCGGAAGCACAACCGGCUGCCGCCGUGACUGAGGAUGUCCAUGCAGACCACAACGCUGCUGGCGACGAAGGCGAGAAGGCGACUGGUUCUGCGAUGCACGAUGAUGACUUGGCCGACGACUCCGCUCUCAUCGUUAGCUCCUUACAGGCGCACGACGCGGCCGUCCGCGCAGCGUUGCGCACCGCACACGGGUUUCUCUACGGCAGUGAAACAGUCCCCGUCGGCGUGCCGGUGGUGUACUUGCAGCGCGCUCGACGAGAGUGGCUUACGCGGUACCGCGUCAUGCACGUUCAGCCACAUCUGCAGAAGGCCCAGCGACGUCGCUAUGAGGCGUGGGCGGCGCAGCAUCCACAGAUACAGGGCUUUGCUGACGGCAGCGCCGACGGUGCUACCCACCAGCACGGCGCGUCUGCCUCGCGGAGCGCGAUGACGCCGGUGUCUAUGUGCGCAGCGUUGCAGCCCAAGUAUUGGCGAACCAUCUCCAUGGAGCGGCCAAGUGCUGUGCCCACCACGACCCACCCCGGCACUGCGAAUGCGCCGCCGGUUGAAGUGGAAGGGGUUGCGAGCGGUCACAGCGUCGUCCCGCCGCCAACACGUCGGCUAUGGUCGUCAAGCUCUGCACACUCCGCCUCGCCACUGCACGCGUUGUCGCCCGCAAAGACAACGGCGGUGCCGGCGUUCUAUAAGGCAGCGUGGGACGUGGACCUCUACGACGACCUCGGCCUGGCCGUGUCGGCGGAGCAGCUCGACAUUAUGGUGCGCCAGGCAACGUCGCGCACCGCUGUAGAGGCGAUGGAGCUAGACGAGCUGGCGCCGCAGUUUUCGACGACAGUGGCUAACGCUUCUUUCGCUUCCCCGAUGGAGCUGUCGGCGCCGCCGCCGCUCAUCCGCGCUGGCGACCUUACCCAGAUGCAGCUCACCCUUCCCGUCUUUGUUUAUGUUGUAAGUCGCUACUUAUUCGUUGCCCACUACGCCGCGUACUUUCCGACAGGCCUGUUCAGCCGCGCCCUCAUCGACCCCUUCUACUUCCCGGACGCAGCUCAAUGCACGCCGGAGUAUGCGCUACGUGCGGCGCCGGCCCUACGACGUGAGGCGCGGCGUGUGUAUGCCAGCUAUGCCGCGAAGCUGGCGGAUGCGCACCGCUGCUUUCCGGAUCGCACGCGCUCGACAGAGGUGCCGCUGCCGCCGAACGACAUGUUUCACCUGUGGGAGCUGCUGUGCCCGCCGCAGCGGCAGGACGUCGCAGGGCGGUGGAACCCCAUUCCGUGGGGCCAGCUGAUGCCCGAGGAGGAAGAGGCGCUUCUUGAUGAGGGAUUCAAGAGUGUCGCGCACGCAGGUCAGGACGCCAUCGACAAACAUCUCUCUCACGAGGAACCGCUGCUGAGUUAUCCAUACGCCCGCGCAGCACGGCUAACCUACCGGCAGCGACUCCAGCAGCUCGCCCAGCACCCGUCACUUCUGGCCGAGGUCCACCGCCUUCUCUCACAGUGCGAGGACAUCGCGAUGCAGUUCUUCACGAUGGUUGACAUGGAGCAGAAGGGUUGCAUCACUUGGGAGGCCUUCACCAACGCGCUUAUUGAGGAGGCAGACGUGCAGGAUCAUCAGCGCAAGGUGCGCGAGCGUGCUGCCCAUCUUACGCGCACCAGCGCCUCGGUCUUCGACCGGUACGUCGUGGAGCCGCUCCCCUCAACGCUCGCACGGCUUGGGUACACGGGCAACGUCUUCGAGGUGCGGCACAGCGCGUCGCUCGUCAUGCUGGAGGGUGCGAACGACUACGCCGUGUGCGAUGGCACUCAGCUGGGCAGCAUUCACCAACGCUUUCUUGUCAGGCCCAUGGAUGUGUUGUGCAAGGAGCUCGAAGAUGAGCCGCACGACGCCUUUGGCCGACUCAUCCGCGGCCUCCGUGGCCAUCGGGGCGGCGGCGGCGACAGGGAGAUUGGCAGGCGAAGAGCGUACUCGGCCACUGAUACUGACGGCUACGACGCAGCACUGAGACAGCGGCCAUGGCGCAACAAUCAGCGACCUCUGCGGGUGUACGUUCGCUACGAGGACGGCCGACGACUGCAGGAGUCGACGGCACUGAACAUGCUGCAGCAGCUGAGCCCCUCAAGGGCGAGGGCCGUCACGGCAGCUGGCAGGGGGACUGUUGACGACCACGAGGGCGUGUUCACAAGCAUGCGGGCGCAUCAACCGGCGAAGUUGGUCUCCCUCGAAGGCAUCUUGGUUGUCGAGAACGUCUCGCCAUGUGUGCCGUGGCCCGUGUUCGUAACACGCGGCAAUGACAUGCUGCUACGGCUGUACGGCGCCAGCAGGGCUGUCCAAGCGUUGCCGGAGGCAGGCGUGCUGCGUUGCACGGAGACUGUGUCAAGCAUGGAGUGGGCUGCCGGCGGCCGUCGAGCACGACGCUCUAGCGUCAGUAGCACCGGUACCACGUCCGAUAGCGCCGCCUCGCGGUCAGCCGGGGCGCAUGGCGACGGGAGGGAGCUCCAGGGCCGCCGCAGCGGGAGCCCCGCCCAGGGUGACCGUGCUCUCUCCUCUGCCGUCGCGCCGCUGUCGCCACACCGACGGACGCAUCAUGACCGCAUCGCUGUGCAGCGGGAGGAGUACCUGCUGCUGGGCACCCGUGACGGCACCAUACUCCUUGUGGACCUCUACGCCCUCCUGAACCGCGUCCCGCGCCUCGCGACGCCCGCGGACAUUCACAGUGGCAGCACCGUUGAAGAUGUGAGCAGCAGCGCAGCCGGCGACGGCACGUACGACGUAGGCGGCAAUGGCGGAGCAGCGAGCACGAUGGGUGCUGCAUCCAGCGUCAUGCAGUCCACAUCGGAGCGCAUCGGCAGCUCCGAGAGCGCGUGGUCAGGCUACCGCGACCUCGCCCGCCGCACGUACUACGGCGACAUUGGCGCCUUCGUCGUUCACACGCGGCAGGUGCACACGCCCGGCACGCUCGUGUCAUCCGUCGUGGCCGCGGCUACCAGCGGCUUGGUGGUCUCCAGCGGGCUCGACGGGGAUGUCUUCACCAUGCGACUGGCUUACCCGUCCUCGUGGAUCACGGCUGCCGGGAUGCAGCGGACGCCGAGCGGCGUCGCUGCAGGUGUCGGGCCCGCCACCACUGACACAAGCCGCCCGCUCGUGUGCAUCGAGGUUCUGCACCGCAUGCGUGUAUCCGACACUGGUGUACGCUACGCCCUGCCCAUUCCCUUUCUUUCCAUGCUCGCUGUGCAGACGGCGACAAACAAGGUGUACCUUUAUCAUACCUCCGUGCUGCCGACGGCACCGGCACUGGUGGACGGUGGCCGCAGCGAUGCCGCAUCCAUGCAGGUGUCUCCCGCACCCUUGUCAACGCCACGGGCAGUACCGGAGGGCGUCGAGGUGGUGGCCGACGGCGGUUUUUCACCGGUGCCCGCCGCGUCUUCGGCGACGCCGCCACGGCUGGAGCUGUACGACGCAGCAGCACCGCAUCUCGGCAGCAUCGUCGCCAUGAUAUUGGUGAAGGAGCUCGACCAGCUGAUCACAGUGGAUAGCAGCGGUUACGUGAAGGUGUGGUCGCUGCGGCAGACGCAGCCUCUCACCUCUUUCUACGCAUGGGCGCCGCUCAACAUCUCCAACAGCGGCAGCGGCGUCGGCGACGCGGGGCGGCUGACCGGGUGGCCGUCCUCUCAAGGCAGUGGCGCUGCGCAGCGCGGCAGCGGCCAUGGCUCAAGCAUGUCGCCAUGUGGCGUUCCCACUUCCUCAUCUGCGCUCCUGCGGACGACGAAGAACAGCAUUGAGGUGGCUGUCGACGCGGCGGAGUAUCGCCUGCAGCCGUGCCGCAGCGCCGCGUUCAACUACGCCGGUCGGCAGCUCUUUGUCAUGGGUAGCCACAACGCCGCUCACUGCUUCUUCGUGAGCGGUCAGUCGAGUUCGCGGGCGCACACGCAACCGCUGCGGGUGCUGUUGGUGGACACGGCGACGGUUUCGCGGGUGGGAGGGGUGAAUCACCGGCUUAUCAGUCUCAGCAGCGCAGACUGCCGCGUGUGGUCGCUGCUAACUGGAACCAUGGAGCUCGGCAUCCGCGCGAACAGCGCCGAGUACCGUCAUCUCUUCAACAACCGGCUCACCGGCAGAGUGCGAGGCAGAUCAUCGUCGAUCGCCAAGUCUGCAGAGCAGCAGCGGUUGGGCAGGAAGGGCGGCCGUGGUUGCAGAUCCCGUGGCGCGCGCUCUCGGUCGAACUAUCGCACACGCAUGCACAACGCACACGACGCCCUUGUUCUGGCAGCCGCAUCCUCCUCGACGACGACGGGCGAGCCCCAGCGCUUGUUGCCGCCCUCGGUCGACGACGUCAUGCGAGCCGUAUCGGCGCGUCCGUGGAGCAGCCACAGCCACUCGCACCACCACUGUGCGCCGCGGCGCGCUGCUGGGGCUGCGGCGGGCCCGCACAGGGAAGCCGCAGUGGCCGCCGCCACGGCUUCGUUUCCCCUACUGACGGCGGGGAAGCAGCCUCACGGCAGUGCGGAAGCCCCCGGCAACAGCGGCGGCUCUGGCGGCGGUGCUGAGGAUGACACCGAUGAGCUUGUAACGAACGUGAUGCGCGAUCAGAACCUGCUGCUGAGCGACAUUCGGUGCGCGUGUCUUGGCCCUGGUGGUGAGUGGGUGGGCUACGCGCUGCUUCACGGCGACGUCCGGCUGCACCGCAGUGAUUCAGGGCGGUUGCUACACACCUUCAUCACUACCCCUCCGUCCACUGAGGACUUGAUUGAGGCGGCGAUGCAGUACCAACACCUCUUCACUUCCGUCACCGCCGCGUACGCACUGCCGCCGCUGCACCCGGUGACCAUGGGGGAUGCUGCCACGGCAGCGAGUCACCUGUCCGCCGGCAUGAGCACAGCAUGUGGCGGUGGCGGUGGCAGUGGUGCCAGCGGCCCACCAACCACGGCCGCAAUGCCCUCGCAGUCGCCGAAGGCGCGACUCACCCCAAUCGCGUAUGCAAAAGCCGUUGCGCUGGUUCUUGAGCGGCUUCUCGCAACCACGAUUGGUGUCACCUGUGGCCUCACCGAGGCAGCGCCGACCUCAGCCAUGUCAGCAGACGGCGACGAUCGACUGGGCCGCAACGUGCACCGGGAGCCGCUGCACAUGCUCUACCUCGACGCCUCGCAAGAGUUGCUCGUCGCCUACGCGGACGGUCUGCUGCGGUCCUUUACGCUGCUCAGCCACUCCAGCACGGCGACGCGCGUGAUCGUCUCCCGAACGUUGAUGAACCGAGCGCUGACGCAGGUGCGGCAUGCGCUGGCGUGGAACAGCCACCACGCAGGCGCCGCCCGCCCCGCGACGGCGGCAGGCACGGACGUGCCAGGGAGGAGAUCGACAUCGCUAAACGCAAGUCUCUCGGCGCUUCCGCCGAAGGAGCUGCUCACGACUGGCCCCCUCCGCGGCGUCGGCAUCGGCGACGCUGAGGCGAUUGAGGAUCGCAGUAGCCUUGUAGCCACUAGCCGCAACUCCAGGUCUCCUUCGCGGGCCGCGUGUAGCGAAGGAGCCGGCGGCGGCCCAACGGUGCGGCUCAACAAUGCGGACGCGGCCGAGGUGAUGCCUGCUGCAUCACCGGCGAACAUAGCGCGAGCCGUGAUGGUCUCCUUGUCCACGCGCCAGAUCGAGCCCGACGUGGUGCUGCUCGCCACUGCAAGCUCGCCACUCGGCCUCAUCUGUCUCGUGCAUGCGAGUGGCCUGGUUACCGUCUUGGACGUACAGUCGCGCAGCGAGACGGACGGCGCUGUGCGGAUGCGGAUGAUGCUGGGCGACGCUGACGACGUGAAGGGCGGGGCCGGUGGUGGCUGCGCUGAGCAGAAGCCUGAAAGCGGACGCGGACGCGCUGAGGCCGGCGUUGUCGUGCACAGCUUUAUGACGACAGACGAAGUGACGGCGGCGAUGUUCCUCGGCGCUUACCCUUGUCUCGUGCUGGCGGAUCGCCAACAUCAGCUCUCCUUCCACCUGAUGAAGGGCUCGAGCUUGCUGGCGCUGCUUGGUGAGUUUGCUGAGCAACUCGAGAAGGAUGUGAUGGCGUGCGCCGCAGGCCUCCGCGAGCAGGCCGAGACCGAGGCGAGCGGCAGCACGACGGCGAAACUGUCGCUGACGGGCCUGCGCAGUACCAGCAGCUACACCGCCGCAGCGUCGUCACCGCGGCUGCCGCCAACGGGCAGGGUGAAGAGAGGCGCAGAGCGAGGGUCGAACCCCACCGCGACGAGCUCGACGCUGGUGUGGACCUUUUCCGUCGCCGACACGUGCGCUUCGCAGCGCUCGCUGGGCUACAUCACGGCUCUCACCUUCGAUGCUCUCUACGCCACCGUGUAUGUUGGCACGUCUCAGGGCUACAUCGUGUCGUACCUCGUGCGGCGCUUUUUUAUGGCGUUUCAGCUGACGCCGGUGUUCCUUCGCGGCGUAGACGGCGUGGCUGUCUCGACGUACGCAGCAGAGCUGCAACGCGCCCUCGCGGCAGCGCGUCCUGGAGCAUCGAUGUGCAACAACCCAAGCAGCGACUUUCUGCACAACUACCUGCGCGUCGUCUUCGACGUUCCCCCGUCGGUGGCAACGCAGGCGACCGAAACCCGCCCUAGCAGCCCGCGGAAGCGGCACGUCAGCUUGACCGGCAAUCCCUCGACGGCCGCCACAGCAGCCAGCCAAUCACCGAAGGAGAUCGGCGGCCUCAUUGGCGUUUACAAGUGCCGCCGAGAUCUCUUCCACGUCUCGUGGCGCGGCGUCACCGGCAAGCGGCGCGGAGGGGGUGGUAACGGCAGGUACGCGGCGGCGCCGUCGCAGGCCAUCUCGAUCUGCACAUCCAGUGAGGCGCUCAUCGCCGCGGCGGUGUUGCACGAUGCUGUAACGCGCAUGAAGACAGUUGCCUCGGCCUGUGCCACCGCGGCGGAGGCCUGCCCAGGUACCACCGCGACACCAGACGAGACGCAGCCGUGGUGGUGCACGCCCGCGGGGCGGAAGGUGAAGGAGUACGUGACACGCAAGUGCAGAGGCGACGCAGCUCGGGGCGGCAUGGGCGAGAGCACCGGGACUGCUAACGCGAGCCCCGCCGACUCGGGUGAGCUGGAGCUGGGCGCAGAGGGAGUGCAGCUGCUGCGUGAAUGGGUGGCCGCGGUGCUCGCCGAGCAGCGUCGCUACUUGCCACGCCACACGAGCGAUGCAGAGGCAGUGCCCGAAGCGCGACAGCAGCGGCAGCGGCAGCAAGAAUCUUUCUCCACUGCACCCGUUGAUACUCAAGACGGAGUGAGUCGUACGUCAAGCAGUAGAAGCUGCAGCAGCAGCGGAUUCACGGCAGUGCCGCCAGUGCCGACGCCAGCCUGCGGUCAUGACGUCUUCGCUAGCGGCGCCAGCCACGCCGGUGCCGACCAGAGGGCUGCUGCUGGUGGUGUCAGAGGAGGCGCCGCAACCGCGGCCUCGCCGGCGUCCACGGCACAGCAUUUAGCGGAGACUCUCGUGCAGGAGGUGCAGGAAGAGCUUCUCUUUGGCAAGGAGGCCCCCGCAACAGUGGCGGCUGCCCACUACGGCUACGGGCCCGUGUCUGAGCUCACCACACCCGCCGCAACUCCGCCGCACCCCAUCACAGACUCCUGGGUCGAGCUCCUCUUUACCAGGCAGGCCAUGUGCACCACCAGCCGCUCCCCACUGUGCUUCUUGACGCCGCCGGCGAUGCUCGAGCGAGCCCGACGAGAGCGACAGGAUCGGCGAGGGCGGAUGGCUGCCACUGCAGCAGCUGCUGCGGGAAACGCAGCUGGCGGUGCGCCAGCGAUUCCGGAGUGGAACGCCUACGUCGAGGGGGCUUUGCCCGACUACCUCGCCGACAUUCUAAGCCACCCAAGUCAGGUGCUGACUGAGGCUGAGCGGCAGGCACUUCAGCAGCGCUCCAUCACAGUACUGCAGUGCCGGCGGAACGGCUACCUCUGCGUCGGCCACGCUGACGGCGGCGUGACGCUGUGGACGCCGUACGCGUGCGCACGGCUGGAGAGCCUGUGCCCGAGUACAUCGUUGGCGGCGACGCUGGACCGCCUCGCCGCGUCUGUCAAGGCUCAGUUCCGCUGCCUUCAUGACCGCAUACUGCUGGAGCGGCAGCGACUCGCCUUCGAGGGAAGUCUGCGCAACAGUCGACACACAGAGGAGGAGAGGGUCGCCUGCAUGAAGCGCCGCAUCCGCGCGAUGCUGCUAGAGCAUCACCUGGCCCAGCUGCAGCUGGAGAGGACACAGGGCGAAGGCGAGGGAGACGCGGGCACGCUGGCUGGCAGGGCCCAGGAGACAGGGUCGCCGCCCAUGCUCUCGACAUCGGCGAAAAGUGCUUUGAAUCCGCGCACAUGGAGCACGCCCGAUGCACGGCGGCACAGCAGCCGCGCGGCGGCCGCGGCAAAGGCACAGGGUUCGGAGAAGUGCAGCACGUCAACGCAGCUCUUCUUGUGUGGCUCGAUGGAGGCAGAGCUGCUGGCCAUGCGUCCGCUCUUGUGCUUGCUGCUCGGUGUCUCGUCACCGGCGGAACUGCGUGCCCGGCAGCUGAGCCUCGAGGAUCUCUUCUUCCUCCCCUUCAAGGCCCGCAACCUCGCGUCGCUGGAGGCGUUCAACCCCCACUCCUACGACGUGGCGGUGGCGGUGGCGAUGCGCCGACUGCGGCGGGAUCUCAUCGAGAAGGCCGAGGAGUACGCCACCGAGGAACCGGACGGCGAUCCGCAACUCUUGCCAGACGCUCUCACCGCCGCCGUGACGCAGGCUGUGUCGACAGCAUCACAUGCCGUUACUUCUCCCGCCUCUCCAGUCUCGCUGAGCGGCAGCGCUGGUUACCUGCAGCGUAAGCGGCAGGAAAGCGUGUACGACUACCGCUUAUCAUCUCUGGCGCGGGCCUGGCACGAUGGCGCCGAUCAGCCGGAGAAGGGGAAGCCGUCUGAUGCGUCAGGGGCGGCAGCCUUCCCAGGGGUGCUGCGCCUGCUGCUGCACCGGGCAAUGGAAAGGGCUCCAUACUUGUCGAACGGCGCUGUCGCGGCGAACUCGCCGCUGACCGCCGCCUCUGCGGCGGCUCCCGUGAACGCUGACAAAACUGAGAUUGCGCACGGCACCGCGGCACACGCCGCUGGGGCCCAGCCACCGUCCCCAACACCUGCGGCGCCUGCGGACGGGGAAUACUACGAGGUGUGCCACGCUCUGCAGGUGGCGGAGGUGCAAGCGGAGUCGCAGUGGGAGGUCGAGGAGCUGGGCCGAGCGUGGCGGCGACUGCAGGUUUCCACAGUGGCCGCCACAGCGUCAUCCACGACCGCGCGCUGGAAUAGUGGGCAUGACCGUGCCAAUGUAUGCGACAGCCCUCCCACACAGCUGCCGCUCAGCAGCGCCGCCGCCGUGUCCGCCGCAGUGGACCGCCAGGUGAAGCGCGGUCUGGAGGCGCGCAUAGCGGCACUGUCGCACCGCGCUGUCGCGGCCGCUCUCUUACGGAACGUGCAGCUGUGCUGUCGGCCCGCUCACACGAGGGCAGCGCUGGCGCCGCCCCCCCUUCAUCCAGGCGACGGAGCUAGCGGCGCGUAUUCGCCCUGGCCGCCGACGACCUCCCGGCGUGGUGGCGGGCUAGCGUGGGUGCAGAGCGUCCUCCGCCAACAGGCGCAGCAAGCCUUUACGGAGCCGCUGCUGACAUGGCUGCAGCUCGCGUCGUCGUCGGUGAGCCCUGCUGUCAUCCCUAUCCGCUACGGGCCAACAUGGAUCUACGGUCAGCAGCGCAGCUCGGCCCUGGCAGCCAUGGCAGUACCUGUGCUCUCUGGCGAAGAGGGGCUGCUGCCCUCCCCCACUAACGCGCCGCUACAAGCUCUUUGCCACACCUCCUCCACGCCCGGCGGCGGCGGCGACCCCCACGCCGCACCUGCAGAGGGGUACAGAGAGAGCAAGAAGGCCUUCCUUACUGAGGUGCCCGGCGACGCGACUGGCGCUGGUGCUGCUGCCGGCUCAUCUUUAUGCCCCUCAGAGCGGGCGGUUUUUGAUGCGAGCGGGCACGCGGCAGUGGCGGGUGGCACCGGCAGGAGAGCGGGACAGCGUUCCCUGUCGUCCCGGCUGUCAUCCACCGCGGAUCGACCGCCGUUGUGCGACGUCGGUAUGGCUCUGUCGUCGAGAGACUCGUGCUCGCCCUUACCCUCGCCUUUGCCGCCGCUCAAGUCCACGCGCGCCAACACCAUUAGCGGGCAUCGACUGAGCUCGCUCGGUGUGCACGACGCGCGUGCGAUGACAGCAGAUCGUGAUAACCCGGCCGCCUCUGCCAUGGCUGACACGGCGUCGCUCAUUUCGCGUUCCCUCUCGAGUAAGUCGUCUUUUUCCAUGGCAAGCAUCCCGCCCAACGCCACCUUGAGCAGCCCCGCCUUCUACCCAACGCCGCAGGUAAGCCAGCGCCUGCUGACCUCGUCCGCCUUGCACCGGACGAAACUGGCACAUACCGGCAGCUGUGGUAGCACUCCGUAUCAGCAGAGACCAGUGACCACGGGCGUAGCCGGCAGGAGGGGCGCCGCAGGCGACUACACCGUCGUCACGAACACGCUUCACGCUGCUGCCGCUAGGACGACGGCGCCACCCGCUACGUCUGCCGGCUAUGGCGGCGGACGCGGAGGAGGAGCUGGAGGGGGAGGGGGAACUCGAGGCAGCAGGGCGGCAGCCGUGCAACCCUUCACCUACUACUCGCUCUUUGGCCAGGCCGGCACCACCAAAUAGACGGCUCGGACGUUCCAACCACGUGGCGACGUACACCCACGCACACACAGACACACGUCUACCCCACGCUUCCACCAUUCUCUCCUUUUUUUUUCGUGCCUUCUUGUACCCGCACUCCCUCCUCCCCCUUUUUUAUGUAUGUACAGGUGCACAUACGCAUGUAUGUAUGCAUGGUUUGCCUUUCUUCCCCAACCCCCUCGCCCCGCCCCCAAGCGCGCUCCCUCACGCACAUGUGAGGGACUGAAGAGGGGCGGAGACGGAGGCGCGGUGAUAAUACACUAGGCAAACUCGUCGAAAAGGAAGACUAUAUAUAUAUAUGCAUUGUAUCCUAUAUAUGUAGAGAGGGUGAGGGAGAGGGGGCGUACCAAAAUGUGUAUUAGUUCUCAAGCGACAUCGACGUGUGCGUCCGCCCGUGCGCAUGAGUGUCGGUGCCUCCGCUUGCUUGCCCCCUCCGCCUUCCAUGUUAGGCAGACGUUCUCACGCGGUGUGAGCGGCGGAAGAAAAACACAA